rnacentral:lncRNA from 1 species
UCCUUUUGUGCUGUCCUAGGGUCUAUAAAUAGGACCCCUAGGUUCUCCUUCUCCUUCAUCCAUCCAUGGCUCUUCUUGUGAGUCUCUUUGCUGAUUUUAUUCAGGGAGAGAUUGAGGAGCUGGAUCGAAUUUUGAAUAUUUUGGAUCCUCGGUCGUCAACCUUGGAUCUUUCUUCUCUGCGCCAGCUUAUUGUUGAGCGGCAGAGUGUUGCUGUUGCUGCUAGGGAAUCAAUUUUUGAAGAAUGGUCUGGUGGCGAUCUUCCGCCCGUCUCUUCUUCUGUUGUCCCUCCUCGUGGCCGACGUCGGAGGCGUCCCCGCCGCGGUGCCUCCCCGCUGGAUCAGGUCCCUCGCCGCUUACGUUGCCGUAUCAAUUUUACUUAGGAACCUGUAAUAUUUUUCAUUCAUCAUUUUUAUGACUUUGAAUAAAUAUAUAUUUUUACCUUUUCCUUUAUUCGACUUACACCUUUACUUUGAAGUACGUUAGUGUAACCGAUGCUUUCUUUUGGUCAAUACCAUAUUCUUUUGUCAUUUUCUGAAGAAGUCGGAUUUUUGACGACAAGUCGAUCUCAUUUCUCCCUGGAAAUGUCGAUGUCGCUCAAAAAGUCGAUCUCAUCUUUUUCUGAGGAUGUCGAUGACUGCCGAUCCUUUUCUGAAGAUUUCGGAUUUUUGACAACAAGUCGAUCUCAU